rnacentral:misc_RNA from 1 species
AACUUUUGACAAUGGAUCACUUGGUUCCCGCAUCGAUGAAGAACGCAGCGAAACGCGAUAGUUAAUGUGAAUUGCAGAAUACAGUGAAUCAUCGAGUCUUUGAACGCACAUUGCGCCUUCCGGUAUUCCGGGAGGCACGUCCGUUUGAGCGUCAUUAAAAACCUUCCGGUCCGCGGAUUUUUCGGAUUCCGCAGGCACGGGUUGCUGGCGCGGGGAUGCCGGCCGCCGCGCUCCGGCGCGGCCUGGCCCUCCCCCGCUUAAACGCGGAGAAAAGCUAGCGGGCAGGUGCCCCCAUCGCGAACGACUCGUAGUACACUCCCUGUCGUUGCCAGCCUUGGGACACGCCCCGCCUAUUCCAACCGCGGGUGUGAAACCACCCCCAGAACUCUUGACCUCAAAUCGGACGAGGAUACCCGCUGAACUUAAGCAUAUCAAUAAGCGGAGGCU